rnacentral:rRNA from 2 species
GGGGGUUCGAUGCUUAUAUAGUAGGUAUAUGUAUGAUUACCACGGGUACCUUCCGAAUGACGGAAACCCGGAGCGUGGGAAUCUACCCAUCCCUACGGAACAACUCCGGGAAACUGGAGCUAAUACCGUAUACGCCCUUCGGGGGAAAGAUUUAUCGGGGAUGGAUGAGCCCGCGUUGGAUUAGCUAGUUGGUGGGGUAAAGGCCUACCAAGGCGACGAUCCAUAGCUGGUCUGAGAGGAUGAUCAGCCACAUUGGGACUGAGACACGGCCCAAACUCCUACGGGAGGCAGCAGUGGGGAAUAUUGGACAAUGGGCGCAAGCCUGAUCCAGCCAUGCCGCGUGAGUGAUGAAGGCCUUAGGGUUGUAAAGCUCUUUCACCGGAGAAGAUAAUGACGGUAUCCGGAGAAGAAGCCCCGGCUAACUUCGUGCCAGCAGCCGCGGUAAUACGAAGGGGGCUAGCGUUGUUCGGAAUUACUGGGCGUAAAGCGCACGUAGGCGGAUAUUUAAGUCAGGGGUGAAAUCCCAGAGCUCAACUCUGGAACUGCCUUUGAUACUGGGUAUCUUGAGUAUGGAAGAGGUAAGUGGAAUUGCGAGUGUAGAGGUGAAAUUCGUAGAUAUUCGCAGGAACACCAGUGGCGAAAGCGGCUUACUGGUCCAUUACUGACGCUGAGGUGCGAAAGCGUGGGGAGCAAACAUGAUUAGAUACCCUGGUAGUCCACGCCGUAAACGAUGAAUGUUAGCCGUCGGCAAGUUUACUUGUCGGUGGCGCAGCUGACGCAUUAAAACAUUCCGCCUGGGGGAGUACAGUCGCAGGAUUAAAAACUCAAGGAAUUGACCGGGGGCCCGCCACAAGCAGGUGGGAGCAUGUGGUUUAAUUCGAAGCAACGCGCAGAAACCUUACUCACCCCCUUGAUCAUGCCCCGGCCAGCCACCAAAGAUGUGGUGUUCCAUUCAGGGAACGGGACCACAGGUGCCUGCCAUGACUGUCGUCAGCUUCUUGUCCUGAAAAAGAUAGUUAAGUCCCGCACCGAGCGCAACCAUCCGCCUGAUGCCAGCCAAUCAGUGGUCACCUAGGGACUGCCCGGCAUAGCCGAACGAGUGGGAGUGACCCUCAGUACUAAUGCCCCUUAGGCCAUGACUACACACGGGUCUCCAAUGCAUGUGUAGCACCGUGCUA